CGGGGUGUAGCGCAGUUGGUAGCGCGCCACGUUCGGGACGUGGAGGUCGUGGGUUCAAAUCCCGUCACUCCGACCA
rnacentral:tRNA from 1 species